rnacentral:rRNA from 1 species
UCCAGACUCCUACGAGGCAGCAGUGGGGAAUAUUGCACAAUGGGGGAAACCCUGAUGCAGCGACGCCGCGUGAGUGAAGAAGUAUUUCGGUAUGUAAAGCUCUAUCAGCAGGGAAGAAGAAAUGACGGUACCUGUUUAGAAAGCUCCGGCUAACUACGUGCCAGCAGCCGCGGUAAUACGUAGGGAGCAAGCGUUGUCCGGAAUUACUGGGCGUAAAGGGCGCGUAGGUGGGUGCUUAAGUCAGGUGUGAAAACUCUGGGCUCAACCUGGAGACUGCACUUGAAACUGGAUAUCUUGAGGGCAGGAGAGGAAAGUGGAAUUCCUAGUGUAGCGGUGAAAUGCGUAGAUAUUAGGAGGAACACCAGUGGCGAAGGCGACUUUCUGGACUGUACCUGACGCUGAGGCGCGAAAGCGUGGGUAGCGAACGGGAUUAGAUACCCUCGUAG